GUGGAUAACCGCUGAAAGCAUCUAAGUGGGAAGCCCACCUCAAGAUGAGUACUCUCACGGGGUUAACCCGGUAAGGUCACGCGAAGAAUACGCGUUAAUAGGCUCUAGGUGGAAGCGUGGUAACAUGUGCAGCCGAGGAGUACUAACAGACCGAGGGCUUGACCUC
rnacentral:rRNA from 1 species